GAUGAACGCUGGCUACAGGCUUAACACAUGCAAGUCGAGGGGAAACGACGGGGAAGCUUGCUUCCCCGGGCGUCGACCGGCGCACGGGUGAGUAACGCGUAUCCAACCUGCCUCUGACUGAGGGAUAACCCGUCGAAAGUCGGCCUAAUACCUCAUGGUAUCGUCUGCAGGCAUCCAACGACGAUUAAAGAUUUCAUCGGUCAGGGAUGGGGAUGCGUCUGAUUAGCUUGUUGGCGGGGUAACGGCCCACCAAGGCUACGAUCAGUAGGGGUUCUGAGAGGAAGGUCCCCCACAUUGGAACUGAGACACGGUCCAAACUCCUACGGGAGGCAGCAGUGAGGAAUAUUGGUCAAUGGGCGAGAGCCUGAACCAGCCAAGUAGCGUGCAGGAAGACGGCCCUAUGGGUUGUAAACUGCUUUUAUGCGGGGAUAAAGUGAGGGACGUGUCCCUCAUUGCAGGUACCGCAUGAAUAAGGACCGGCUAAUUCCGUG
rnacentral:rRNA from 1 species